AUUGAACGCUGGCGGCAUGCUUUACACAUGCAAGUCGAACGGUAACAGGCCGCAAGGUGCUGACGAGUGGCGAACGGGUGAGUAAUGCAUCGGAACGUGCCCAGUCGUGGGGGAUAACGCAGCGAAAGCUGUGCUAAUACCGCAUACGAUCUAUGGAUGAAAGAGGGGGACCGUAAGGCCUCGCGCGAUUGGAGCGGCCGAUGUCAGAUUAGCUAGUUGGUGGGGUAAAGGCCCACCAAGGCGACGAUCUGUAGCUGGUCUGAGAGGACGACCAGCCACACUGGGACUGAGACACGGCCCAGACUCCUACGGGAGGCAGCAGUGGGGAAUUUUGGACAAUGGGCGCAAGCCUGAUCCAGCAAUGCCGCGUGCAGGAAGAAGGCCUUCGGGUUGUAAACUGCUUUUGUACGGAACGAAACGGUCUUGGUUAAUACCCUGGGCUAAUGACGGUACCGUAAGAAUAAGCACCGGCUAACUACGUGCCAGCCGCCGCGGUAA
rnacentral:rRNA from 1 species